AGUGAACGCUGGCGGUAGGCCUAACACAUGCAAGUCGAACGGCAGCACAGUAAGGGCUUGCUCUUACGGGUGGCGAGUGGCGGACGGGUGAGGAAUACAUCGGAAUCUACUUUUUCGUGGGGGAUAACGUAGGGAAACUUACGCUAAUACCGCAUACGACCUACGGGUGAAAGCAGGGGAUCUUCGGACCUUGCGCGAUUGAAUGAGCCGAUGUCGGAUUAGCUAGUUGGCGGGGUAAAGGCCCACCAAGGCGACGAUCCGUAGCUGGUCUGAGAGGAUGAUCAGCCACACUGGAACUGAGACACGGUCCAGACUCCUACGGGGGGCAGCAGUGGGGAAUAUUGGGCAAUGGGCGCAAGCCUGAUCCAGCCAUACCGCGUGGGUGAAGAAGGCCUUCGGGUUGUAAAGCCCUUUUGUUGGGAAAGAAAAGCAGCAGGUUAAUACCCCGCUGUUCUGACGGUACCCAAAGAAUAAGCACCGGCUAACUUCGUG
rnacentral:rRNA from 1 species